rnacentral:tRNA from 1 species
GGGCGAAUGGCGGAACUGGCAGACGCGCUAGACUUAGGAUCUAGUCCUGAGUAAGGGUGGGGGUUCAACUCCCCCUUCGCCCA